rnacentral:lncRNA from 1 species
CACUCACAGAAGUGAUCUGAAACGGCACAAAAAGAGGAAACAUAAAAAUUGAGAAGUGUGUUGAGAAUUUGCACUGUAAACUUCAUUAUUCUCUUAUUGUUUUACCCAAGGUUCAAACACAAAUUAUUUAUCUUUCUAUUGAUUCAUUCUUAAAUAUUACUUGUUUUAGAUAAAAUGGCAGAGAAUAUGAAAAAAGAAUUGAUUAUGGAAUAAAUAGGGAUAAAAGAAGAAGAAGUUAGAGCAAAUAUGUACAUGGGAUGUGAAGGAAGAAGAUGUUAAGAUUGAAAAUAAAGAAUUUAAAGGCGAAAGUUUAUGUUCUUUUUAUUAUUUAUUAAAAAGUUUUUUAGUUUUUAUAUUUCAAUUCCUAGAUCAAACAGCGUUACAGGAUCUAAAUAUAUAAUAACUGUUUAAAUUUAAGUAAUACUGCUGGUAAAACAAGAAAUAAACUUGGAAGAGUUUGAGAUGAAGGAAAAAAAACCAGGGGUCAAUAUAAUUCCAUAAUUGAUUAUUUGUCCCAUCACAAGUUAUUUUUAGAAAAAAAUGAUUUUCGGUCCCAACACUUUCAUUUUCUGUCCCAACAGUUUCAUUUUUUGUACCAAAAGCAAAACAAAUAUUUUCAAUUCCACUAGUCAUUCCUUUCAUGACCUGGAUUUUUAUUUUAAGUUUAAUCCCAUUUAUUACAUUUUCGUCCCAAAAUUCUAUUUUCCAUCCCAAACCCUAAAAAAUUAUUUCAAAUUUCACUUGUCCUUUUCAUACAUGCUGGUUAUUAAUUUUAUUUUCUAUCCCAAUUAUUUCGUAAUUUGUUUCAAAAGUUCAUUUUCAAUCCUUAAGACUUCCAUUUUUUGUCCCUUAAAAUUCAUUUUAGUCCCAAAAUCCAGAAAAAAAUUUAAAUUCCACAAAAUGAUUUUCCGUCCCAUAUUUUUAUUUUCCAUCCCAAACUUUCAUUUUCUGUCCAAAAAGUCAAUUUUUUUUCAAAUUCCACAAGUUUGUUAUCACAGGGCCUCAAGGUUUUGGCCACACAGUUUUAUUUUUUGUCCCAAUAAUUUUAUUUUUUUCCCUAUUAUUUCAUUUUAUGUCCCAAUAAUUUCAUGUAUUUUGACAAAAUUUAAUUAUUUGUCCCAAAAUUUCAUUUUUCAUCCCAAACAGCCAUUUUGACCCGAUCCCAUUGGGAUUGGGUAUGGAAUUAUAUUGACCCCUGGAAAAACUGUUUCAACUAAGGAAGAAAUUCUUCCAGGUUCUACAAUAGAAGAUACUUGUACAUUUUAUGUACAGGGGGAAGACAUGAAGAUUGAAAGGAAGACGACUUGGUUACACAGGAGAAGUUGAAGAAGGACGCAAGAUAAAUCCUGGAGGACGCACAAUCCUUCUAUAUACAAUUAUUAAUGUCCAUUCUUUUUAUAUGAGAAUUUUUAAACAUUUUAAUUUCAAACCAAUUUAAUUUCCAUGCUUGGAAAUUUGAAUAAAUUUGAAUAUAAAACUUUUUUAUACUUAAUAUCUGAGUGUUUCAGAUAUUAUGCAUGGCGCGUUUAAGUACUGUGUCCAAGAAACUGCGGGCAAUGUUUGAUCCUUAGUAAACAUAGAUCUGAAGUUAUAGCAACUACUGACGAUCUACACCUCUACCUAUACGUCCUUGCAGUCUCUGUGUCAUUUUAGAGACUGAAGGAGCGUGUAGAGUGUGACCGGCUGAUUGAGCUCUCAGCUUUAAGUAUAUAGAUCGCUGGGUGUGAGCGAUCCUGAUCUCUAUAGGUUGUCAUGCUACAAAAUGAUCCUAUAGACGUCGACUAUCAACCAUGAAGCAAGCUUUAAACCUGUGAACAUGACUAUCUCUCUUGUAACUGGAUAAUGUCCGUAAUUUAUCACCUGAUUAGAGGAUAAAUAAAUACAUAAAAUAUUUUGGAGUUAUCUUCUAUACCUCGAGUUAUAAAGAGGAGUUAUUAUACCACAGUACAAUCAAAAUCUUCAGCACGUCCAUGAGACACGUGCGACCCACGAAGUGAGAGAUAAUAGUCAUUUAAAGAUACACUUUGAAACCCUAUAAACCCUAAAGUCUGACAAGAAGAAACAUUUCUCUCUCUUAACCAAAGAGGCCCAAAAAAAGUGAAUUAGCAGAAAAAGAGUAUCCCUGCGGGAAAUGUGAAUAUGCACAAACCUGGAACACUGAAGAGAGUGAGACAUAUUGACAGUAUGCAUGAUGGAGUGAGAUAUCUCUGUAACUAGUGUGAUUACGCUGCUACAACAAAAGAUAGUCUUAAGAAGCAUAUCAAAUAUAUACAUGAAGGAGUGAGAUAUCCGUGUCAACAUUGUGAUUAGGCUGCUACUACAGUUGGAUGUCUAAAAAGACAUUUCAAAAAUAAUCAUGAAGGAGUGAAAUAUCCCUGUGACCAGUGUGAAUACGCUGCUACCUCAACAACAAACCUGAAAAAAAACAAUUGAAAAUAAACAUAUAGGGGUUAGAUAUCCUUGUGGCUUGUGUGAAUUCGCUGCUACCACAGUUAGUUUGAUGACACAUUUUUUAAAUAAACAUAAAGGCGUUACAUAUCCCUGUGCUCAGUGCAAAUAUGCUGCUACUACAGUAUUGAAACAUAUUGAAAAUAAACAUAAAGAAGUGAGAUAUUCAUGUGAUCAGUGUGAAUACGCUGCUACUACAGGAAGUAAUCUUAAGCAACAUAUUAAAAAUAUACUUAGUGAGUGAGAUGUUUCUUUAGGACUAUUGAACUUAUUCAUGCUAAGACUACAGUCUUUGAUCUGAAAGAGAAAAUAUUAUUUGUAAAAAGAUUUCAUGUUUUCUA